GGGGGACACUGAAGGGAGAUGAGAGGAACAAGCACUGGGGUGGUUCUAGGUCUCUCUGGGACCAGCCACUCCAAAGAACACAACCAGUGCAUGCUGAUCUUAUCUUCUUUCAGACCCUGCAACUUCCACGUCUUCUUUAACCCAGAAAGCUUGUUGCAUUUGCAGAAUCUCUGGGGAGAAUAUUAUUAUCAUCUUUAUUAGUAGUAGGUGUUCGCGUGGAGGUGGUCUCAGCUGGAGGACUCCUGGAGUCUGCCCAAAGGGUUCCCAUGACCUCUGGGCUCCACUUACUUCACAAGCCUUGCCCCAGCUCCUCCUGGGCCUGAAGCUGUGUCUGGUGCCUCAUGCCUUUCCAGGUGUUGUGAAUGACACACUGAUGUUGGAGAUCCUUGGCCAUCCAUGUUAUGAACAUUUUUUACUAUUUAGCCAGGUAUCAAAGCUCAAACCAUAGUCUGUAGAAAUAUAAGUUCCAGGAGUGGGGGUCUUGCUAGGUGACGUUGAGCCAGCAGGGCUUUCUGGCGACAGCAAUGACUGUGAUGUUGACAGGUGGGUCGGACUGCAGGAUUCCAUAACCCUCUAAUAUUUGGGUUUUGCUGAACUUGCUCCCAACACUGUUGGUGACACACAGGGACACUGUAUAGAAAGAGUAAUCUCCCUCUGGCACUGCCAACUGGCAGAACUUCUGGGACUCCUGAGAAUACUGACACGGCUCCUGGAAGAGUUCUGCCUGACAGUUCUGAAACUUUCUCACCAAUAGCACAGCUUUGACUCAGAACCUUGACUCCAAGGACUCUAUUCACAACCAAUGUCACUGAGGGGGCUCUUCCAGAAGCAGGAGAGCUGGGGCUCCUCAGGAGAAACAUCCACCAGCAAAGCACAGACCUGCUGGGCAGCCAGCCCGGCAGCAAGAAUAGUUUCCAGAGUCGCAGAGCUGCACCAACCUCAGAAGCAGCCUCCUUCCCACACCAGCCCAUCUGCUGGGGCGUGAGCCUGCGCCGGGAGUCCUGUGCAACCAGUGGACAGUGGCAUGACUUUCAGGUUCUCCCUCUGGACAGUUAACGUUCGAGGCUCCUUUCAAUGUUCUCAACUCUUCAAACAAGUGUUCUUUCUGGAAAAGGUAUUAUUCUAUUUUAAAUUUUAUCAGUUUUCUGCCUGCAGUUGGGAAUACCAUGCUGAGUGCUCUGCCUGGUAAAGUCAGUGUAUAUUAUACUCUUUAGCACAGCUAUAAGAUCUUUGCAUAACAAAGACAUGCUUUGCCUUCUAAUCUCCUAACAAAAUGAUCUACACUCCACUCUGGCUUGAAAGUGUGACUUUUGGAGUCCGCUUUUCUCCUCUUCUCUUGGCAAACGUAAGAAGAUGCACUGAAAUUAAAUGACUAAAAUGCCAUAGUAUGGCAUCGCAAGCAGCGCUGGAAGGCCGUCACUGCAAUUUGUAGUGCACCAGAGUGCAAGGCAAGGAGAACGCACAUCUGGUCUUGGCCACAGCUGCUCAGCCCUGUUGUUAGCAUUGCCCUGGGCGAGCAGCCAUGAUCAGUACACAAGUGAAUGAACAAGACUGUGUGCCAAUAAAACUUUACUUAUCG
rnacentral:lncRNA from 1 species